rnacentral:rRNA from 1 species
UACGUAGGGUGCAAGCGUUGUCCGGAAUUAUUGGCGUAAAGAGCUCGUAGGCGGUUUGUCGCGUCUGCUGUGAAAUCUGGGGGCUCAACCCCCAGCCUGCAGUGGGUACGGGCAGACUAGAGUGCGGUAGGGGAGAUUGGAAUUCCUGGUGUAGCGGUGGAAUGCGCAGAUAUCAGGAGGAACACCGAUGGCGAAGGCAGAUCUCUGGGCCGUAACUGACGCUGAGGAGCGAAAGCAUGGGGAGCGAACAGG